rnacentral:rRNA from 1 species
UACAGAGGGUGCGAGCGUUGUCCGGAAUUACUGGGCGUAAAGGGCUUGUAGGUGGCCAACUAAGUCCGACGUGAAAUCCCUAGGCUUAACCUAGGAACUGCGUCGGAUACUGGAUGGCUUGAAUCCGGGAGAGGGAUGCGGAAUUCCAGGUGUAGCGGUGAAAUGCGUAGAUAUCUGGAGGAACACCGGUGGCGAAGGCGGCAUCCUGGACCGGUAUUGACAUUGAAAAGCGAAAGCCAGGGGAGCAAACGGG